rnacentral:snoRNA from 1 species
GAUCAGUGAUGAAAAGUAGCCAAAUCUGAGCGCCGGGGUGAAGCCUGCCUCAGCCCGUGAUUAUACUGGACUCGAGGA